rnacentral:lncRNA from 1 species
UAUAUUCUUUACUAAUGAUGUAUAACACUCUUUUUUUUCUUCUGUUUUUUGUUUGUGCGUAGUGUAUAAUUGUAUACCGUCAGAAAAAAAGGAAACCGAAAGUUGUAUGACUUUUUAGUAUUCAAAAAUAUAAUUUCUCUCUUUUGCAUGUUUUUGUGGACGAAUCCCUAAUUCAAGAAUACAUUCAACGAUUUUUAGCCAUAUGGAAUAAAAAAAAAAAAAAA